GACGAACGCUGGCGGCGUGCUUAACACAUGCAAGUCGAACGGAAAGGCCCUGCUUUUGUGGGGUGCUCGAGUGGCGAACGGGUGAGUAACACGUGAGUAACCUGCCCUUGACUUUGGGAUAACUUCAGGAAACUGGGGCUAAUACCGGAUAGGAGCUCCUGCUGCAUGGUGGGGGUUGGAAAGUUUCGGCGGUUGGGGUUGGACUCGCGGCUUAUCAGCUUGUUGGUGGGGUAGUGGCUUACCAAGGCUUUGACGGGUAGCCGGCCUGAGAGGGUGACCGGCCACAUUGGGACUGAGAUACGGCCCAGACGCCUACGGGAGGCAGCAGUGGGGAAUAUUGCACAAUGGGCGGAAGCCUGAUGCAGCAACGCCGCGUGCGGGAUGACGGCCUUCGGGUUGUAAACCGCUUUCGCCUGUGACGAAGCGUGAGUGACGGUAAUGGGUAAAGAAGCACCGGCUAACUACGUG
rnacentral:rRNA from 1 species